UACGGAGGGUGCAAGCGUUAUCCGGAUUCACUGGGUUUAAAGGGUGCGUAGGCGGGCAGGUAAGUCAGUGGUGAAAUCUCCGAGCUUAACUCGGAAACUGCCGUUGAUACUAUUUGUCUUGAAUAUUGUGGAGGUAAGCGGAAUAUGUCAUGUAGCGGUGAAAUGCUUAGAUAUGACAUAGAACACCAAUUGCGAAGGCAGCUUACUACACAAUGAUUGACGCUGGGGCACGAAAGCGUGGGGAUCAAACAGG
rnacentral:rRNA from 1 species